AACACCAGCAAACAGUCUCCUAGACGUAGGGCUACAUUGAUGGACCGGAUUGUAGGAUUUCUGCACUGAGUCCCUGCCCCUCUGCCUUUCCUGCCACCCCAAGUCCCUUCCCCUCCUGAAGCAGCAAUCUCUUCCAUCUCCCUCUCUGGUCUCUUCUCCCCACCCCUUUCCUCUGCACCUAACCCCCUCCCCUCCAUCUAACCCCACCUUCACUCUCCUCUCCGAGGGGGGAGGGCCAGGGGGUGGGGAAAGAAAACCCCCAAAUCCCCAGCCCUGGGCAGAGAUGUCGAAGAAACGAAAAGCCCUCGAGGGUGGAGGAGGUGGCGGAGAACCCCAGCUCCCAGAGGAGGAACCCACUGCCUGGUUUGGGGACAGCAGCGAGGAGCAAGUUCUCUAAGUUAGAAGAGCAACACAAGUCUCACUGGGCUAACCUCGAGGUAUCGGCAGGGCUGGCUCCUUCUGGAGGCUUCAGGGAAGCAUCCAUCUCCCCACUUCUCCAGCUUCUUGAGGCCGUCCGCAUUCCUGGGCUUGUGGUCCUGCUCCAUCUUCCAAGCCAGCAACAGCAGAUUGAGUUCCUCUCACUUAGCAUCACCCUGACCUCCUCCCCUGUAGGCAAGUCUUCCUCUUCCUCCCUCUGCUGUCUCCACCUUUGUGAUUACCUGGGGCCCACCAAGAUCAUCCAGGGUAGCCUCCCAUCUCUAGGUCCCUAAGUUAAUCAAUCACAUCUGCAAAGUCUCUUUUGCCAUGUGAGGUAACCUAGUCAUAGGUUCCAGAGAUUUGGAUAUGAACAUUUUUGUUGAGGCAUCAUUCUGCCCAACCACAAGCAUGUAUCUGGCACUCACCACGUGUGGUAGUUAGUUGGUGUGUACUUUCUCUACCUGUAAAUCCCUGGAUGGAGAACAUGAUUUUUUCUCUCUAUAUCUCUUUGCAUUUCAUCUGGUUCACUUAACCUGAGCCCCAGUGUCUUAGUCUGUACAGUGUGGCCAUAACAGAAUACCUGAGACAGGGUAUUUAUUUAAAAAAAAAUAAUAGGUGGGUUUAGGUCACAGUUCUGCAGUCUGGGCAGCUCAAGGCCAUGGCCCUUGGUUCUGGCAAGGCAAGGGCUUUUGUGGUGCUGCGUCAUAACAUGGCAGAGAAGGUCAAAGCGUAACUGGACACGAGCAAAGAGAAGACCGGAGGGGCCUCCUGGCUUUGUAACAAACCACUCUCAUGAGACUAUUCCAUUCCCUGGAGAACUAAUUCAGUCUCUCCAGAGUGAGACCUCAUGAGGGAUCUGCAUCAGUGAUUCCAACACCUCCCACUAGGCCCCACCUCCCAACACUACCACAUUGGGGACCAAAUUUCAUCAUGGGCUUGGCAGGGAAAAGCCGACCAUACCCACACCAUAGCACCAGCCUGGGACCCAAAUGCACCAAAAAAGGGAACGAGAAAGCGUAGAACUGAACCAUCCAGCAGUCAGAUACCAAAGAGAUCCAAAAAGUUAAACAAUCACGAAGAAAAUGCUGGGUUGAAGGACACACACUAUACUGAAUACAACAGAAGUGUUGAGAGGGUCAGACCUCAGGCAAAUUCAAGGCCAACAGCUGGCACCAAUGCAGGAAGAUGAAGCCUUGCAUAAACAUAAGCCCAAUCGUUAUUUAUCGUGUAAGGACUUGGUAAUUAGAAAAAAUGCAAAAAUGGUCCAAACCUCCUAGAUGUUGCUUUCUUGCAGGGUGAACUUUGGUAAACACUGGGGGAUGGAGGAGAGAGGAAUCUGCCUUCCAGGCUUGUCAAGUUUGUUCUUAAUCGUCCUGAGAACACAGGGUCUAAUGGAGCAUUUGUUGGUCGUCUGCAUGGCUGUGAUAUUUUACUUUAUCGUUUCCACCUACCACUUUUAUAAGUAUUUUUAUUCUCCAUAAAACAGGCUUUUAUGUAUCAUUUGGAAUACAGAGCAUUUACAAAUUAAUCACAUUAAAGACAUUAUCUGUUCUCUUAUGAUACACCUAUUUGAUAUGGUGUGAAGAUAAUUGUUAUAAUCUCUAUUAAUACUGGCAUUCAUUAAAUAUUAAAAUGUUCAAUUGUUUG
rnacentral:sRNA from 1 species